GAUGAACGCUGGCGGCGUGCCUAAUACAUGCAAGUCGAGCGAACAGAUGAGGAGCUUGCUCCUCUGACGUUAGCGGCGGACGGGUGAGUAACACGUGGAUAACCUACCUAUAAGACUGGGAUAACUUCGGGAAACCGGAGCUAAUACCGGAUAAUAUAUUGAACCGCAUGGUUCAAUAGUGAAAGACGGUUUUGCUGUCACUUAUAGAUGGAUCCGCGCCGCAUUAGCUAGUUGGUAAGGUAACGGCUUACCAAGGCAACGAUGCAUAGCCGACCUGAGAGGGUGAUCGGCCACACUGGAACUGAGACACGGUCCAGACUCCUACGGGAGGCAGCAGUAGGGAAUCUUCCGCAAUGGGCGAAAGCCUGACGGAGCAACGCCGCGUGAGUGAUGAAGGUCUUCGGAUCGUAAAACUCUGUUAUUAGGGAAGAACAUAUGUGUAAGUAACUGUGCACAUCUUGACGGUACCUAAUCAGAAAGCCACGGCUAACUACGUG
rnacentral:rRNA from 1 species